UCCGCCUGUUUAUUAGUCAUUUUAAUGCCAGAUAGUUAGUAUUUUCCAUGUACUGCUAGCGUUGGCCUUAUUAACGGUAUCAAAACAAGUAGAAACAACUCAAACUGUGCAGAAUUAAUUCACUACAUAAGCAUCACUCCCAAUGCCAGCAUAAUAAAACAAACACUUCACCAUCAAUGAUGAAGUAGUGCAAUAUGGAAAAGCUUUGAUAAUGUUGCUAGUUUUAAACAAUAGUAACAAGUUACUAAGUUGUAUUGUAAUAGCAGCAUGGCUCAGCAUCACCAACACACAGCACUGUGCAUAGUGAGCACAGUAAAACACCUUAUGGCACCUAAGUGGUGUCAAUAUGGAUCCACGUCUGCACCCACUGUCUUACGUCAGGUGGCGUCAAUCCUACGCAAUGGUCGUCCCUCAACCGACGAUAACGGGAAUCAUCGUUAUCUGAUGUAAGACAAUGGGUCUGAACCCAUAGAGUUGGUUGGAACUGGAGCCUGUAGGCUACUUAGCACUCAGGAGGGUAAAGGUCUGUAGAGGGUAGAAGUCUGUAGAGGGUAGAAGUCUGUAGAGGGUAGAGGUCUGUAGAAGUCUGUAGAGGGUAGAAGUCUAGAGGGUAGAGGUCUGUAGAGGGUAGAGGUCUGUAGACGCUAGAGGUCUGUAGAGGCUAGAGGUCUGUAGAGGCUAGAGGUCUGUAGAGGGUAGAAGUCUGUAGAGGGUAGAAGUCUGUAGACGUCUGUAGAGGGUAGAAGUCUGUAGACGUCUGUAGAGGGUAGAAGUCUGUAGACGUCUGUAGAGGGUAGAAGUCUGUAGACGUCUCUAGAGGGUAGAGGUCUGUAGACGUCUCUAGAGGGUAGAGGUCUGUAGACGUCUCUAGAGGGUAGAAGUCUGUAGACGUCUCUAGAGGGUAGAAGUCUGUAGACGUCUCUAGAGGGUAGAAGUCUGUAGACGUCUCUAGAGGGUAGAAGUCUGUAGACGUCUGUAGAGGGUAGAAGUCUGUAGAGGGUAGAAGUCUGUAGAAGUCUGUAGAGGGUAGAAGUCUGUCUGAGGGUAGAAGUCUGUAGACGUCUCUAGAGGGUAGAAGUCUGUAGACGUCUCUAGAGGGUAGAAGUCUGUAGAGGGUAGAAGUCUGUAGAGGGUAGAAGUCUGUAGAAGUCUGUAGAGGGUAGAAGCCUGUAGAAGCCUGUAGAGAGUAGAAGCCUGUAGACAUUACCUGUUUAUUUCGCCCCAAUUUCAUGGUUUCCAAUUGGUAGGUAGUUUUGUCCCAUCGCUGCAACUCCCAUAUGGAGAGGCGAAGGUUGAGAGUUGUGCGUCGCACGAAACACGAACCAGCCAAGCCACACUGCUUCUUGACACAACGCCCGCUUAACCCGGAAGCCAGCCGCACCAAUGUUCUGUAUACACCGUACACCUGGCAACCGUGUCAGGGGCCAUGUGCCCGGCCCACCACAGGAGUAACUAGAGCGCGAUGGGAAAUGUUAAUCUUGGCCUGUCAAACCCUCUCCUAACCUGGAUGACGCUGGGCCAAUUGUGUGCCGCCUCAUGGGUCUCCCAGGAACUGGCCAGCUGUGACACAGCCUGGGAUCGAACCCAGGUCUCUAGUGACGCCUCAAAGACUGCGAUGAAGUACCUUAGACUGCUGCGCCACUCGAGAGGCUCCCGCAAAUUGAUUUUAACAAAAUUGAUCUCCCAAAAAAUGCUCCCCCCCAUUGAAUUUCAAAAUCCCGAUGUGGCCCUCGAGCCAAAAAGUUUGCCCACCCCUGCUAUAGAGGGUAGGAGUCGGUAGUGCUAGCCUGUACGAUCUGUAGGCUACACAGGUAGGUAAACUCUUAGAAAAAACUGUUCCAAAAAAGUCCCCAUAGGAGAACCCUUUUUGGUUCCUGGUAAAACCUUCUGUGGAAAGGGUACCACAUGGAACCAAAAAGGGUUCUCCUAUGGGGACAGCCGAAGAACCCUUUUCGGUUGUAGAUAGCACCUUUUUUUCUAAGAGUGUAGUAUAGGCUACACUAGACUCAAGGGGAUAGGAGGCUUUUCAUUGGCUACACUAGACCCAAGGGGGUAGGAGGCUUUACAUUGGCUACACUAGACCCAAAGGGGUAGGAGGCUUUACAUUGGCUACACUAGACCCAAGGGGGUAGGAGGCUUUACAUUGGCUACACUAGACCCAAGGGGGUAGGAGGC
ensembl:lncRNA